rnacentral:lncRNA from 1 species
AAAUAUAAUGUAAUUGUUGAUGAAGAUAUCAAUAAAUGUAGAAGGUCAACUCCCUCUAAUAAGCUGGAGAGCUGAAAAAGAUAGGUAAAGAACAAGAGAAAAGGUUGAGAGCUUAAAAACAAGGUGAAGGAAGAGUUGAUCCGCUCUUCUUCGUCAUGUUCAGAGGUAUAUGUAAUGGAGCUUUUUUGUUUGCUAGUGUUGACGUGGUAGGAUGGUUAUCAUCAUAAACUACAUAAAGAUAAGCAUGGUGGGAGGAUGUUCGAGGUUGUUAUGCUCAAGUGGGGACUCAAUGGCUUUCAAGAGCGCAUUCACUUUUACAGGAGUCUUCAUACCUAAAAAGCAGGUAUCUAUCACAUAGAUAAUUUGCUCAAAAAGGCAUACAAAUAAGAUUCUCUUCAGCGGGUAGUUAAGACUCUUCUGUUGAGAUCAACAGGUUGAAUGGAGAUAAGACGUCUGAGAGGCCAGGGGGGGUUGAUCACCUAAAUGUUCGAAUAAUAGAGAGAGGAGAAGUGCGUGUGGUUUAUCAUGCUGACAUGUG